rnacentral:tRNA from 1 species
GCCCGUUUAGCUCAGCCGGUAGAGCGUUGGCGUAAAAUCCAACGGUCAAGGGUUCAAGUCC